rnacentral:tRNA from 1 species
GUCCAGGGAUGGGAAUCGAACCCACAGUGUUAUGCUUACCGGGCAGAUGCCAUGUCCACUAGGCUACCCUGGA